CUGCAUGACUUUGACAACAACACGAAGCUAGAUGGACUGGAGAUUCUAGCAGCGCUGACACACGCCAUCCCAUGGGAAGAGCAGGAUGAGAAGGAUGCGAGCGGACUGCGGAAGGAUCCGGCAAAGAUCAAGGAGCUACAGGAUGAUCGGCUACGAUCCUACGUCGAACUUAUAGACAGAGUCUUUGAGGACGACGAUUACGAUAGAGAUGGUUACCUAUCAUACAUCGAAUACGUUCUCGCCCGGCGGAGGGACGAAGAGAUUCAAAAACGCAAGGAUCUCCAGAAACAACAACAGCCGCAGCAGCCGCACAGCCAACAAUGAGAAUUGUUAGAGAAAUUAAUCAAAUUGGUAUUUACUGCGUGAGAACUGCGCUUGACGAUUUAGAACCGAAACCAAUAUACGUACAUUAUUCAUAUACUUUACUAUAACGAAGCUUCCAUAUUUCUUAUAUGGAUAUAUAUAUAAUCGAUUUCUUCCAUAUUAAAAAUUGUGAGCUAUGGUCACCGUUACUAGCAGAUAUAAGAAAUAGACUAGUUAUAAUUUCUAUGUCCGUCUGAAAAACUUUUGAUGAUAUUACAGCUGCCCGUGUGUGGGAACCUAACACAUGUGGAGCGAGGGGUGAUGGAGUGACAGAAACACUGAAGUGUUGAACAAGCCUAAACUUUAAUGUAAUGCCUAUACUACGUGUCUAUUAUUGUACAUCAGUGCGUGUAAGUCAUUAAGAUGAGUUUUGUUUUGCUAAAUUCGAGGAAUAUAAAAGCAAAUAUUUUAUUAUCACCA